CUGGAGUGCUCCUUUAAAAGUAUGGAUGAAAUUUAUAUUGCUAAUGCGGAAAAAGAACUGCCACCAAUACAAGCACAGGGUGAGUUAUGGGUGCAUUGGGAACUCAAUUGAGUUAAAGUGCUUGAAAAAGGUUUGACCCACUAUAAGGGAUCGGCAUAGAAACAUAGAAUGUGAUGGCAGAUAAGAACCAUUCGGCCCAUCUAGUCUGCCCAAUUUUCUAAAUACUUUCAUUAGUCCCUAGCCUUAUCUUAUAGUUAGGAUAGCCUUAUGCCUAUCCCACGCAUGCUUAAACUCCUUUACUGUGUUAACAUUUUGAUAAACUGUCACAAAUGUGCCUGACUCCAGAAACAUCAUAUAC